CUAUUUUUGAUCAAUUUUUCAAAUCAAUCCAUCGAUUUUCGGAAACAGCAAAAUUGCACAAUCAUCAUUUUCAAAAUUGCUUUUUUUUCCAAAUUGUUCGUUAAUUACCUCAUUGAGUAAAUUGAAAUCAAAUUCUCAGGAUGAAAAUUAAUCGCUGUCCGACCUCAUGCGCGCGCUUUAUUAUCCCUAUCAAAUGAAUUUCUUCGUCAAAAUUUUCUGUGAUUUCUGGCCCUUUUCAAAAUCAAUUCAUCGUUCGUCUCGAAGUUCAUACCGACAAUAUUCUUCAUUAUACAAAAUUUUCACGUUUCGCAACCAUUAACAAUUAAAUCAUUCUUUUCCAAAUUCAGCAUAACCCGUUCGCAUUCUUUGUUUAAUAUUUUUUUUGUAACGUAUUCUCAACCCAAUUUUUUUCAAAAUUCCCAUUUUCCCUCAUUCUCAAGCAAUUCACACUUAUUAACGCAUCAUCUUUCGAUAUUCCACGUUUUUCGAAAUUUAUUCCAAAUUUCUAUUUCCAAAUUGUUUUCCAAAUUCUCAUUCAUUAUUUCAUGGAUAAAUUAUGGAUUAUAUGGUAACUUAACUGUUUCUAUUCACACUUCAAAUCACACAAACAAAUCUCGGAAAAACCCAAAAUUUUUAUAUUUCAUAUCAAUAACCCCCUACCCCUAUCUUUUUUCGUUAUUAUAUAUUUUUUUAAUUGUUUCCAUUCGUCAAAAUUGUUGAAUCAUAACCUUUUCCACCUUUUCACAUAUUCCUAAUAAUCUUUUAGGCACAAUUAUUCAAAAUUUUUCGAAAAAAAAAUUUCUUCGUCUUUUUUUUUGAGUUUCUGGAAUUCACUCUGAAUUAUCAUGUCGGGAAAUAUUAACGGAGGUGCAUUUAACUUUACGGAAGACCAUACCAUAUUUUCUAGGGCCAUAUAAACAUCAUCAUCAAGGAAUAAAGGAGAAAGCUGACGAAAACCAACCAACCUUAUCCCAUCUGUUGCAUAGCUGUUAUUCUUAUGUAUAUAUUGUGUAUAUAUUGUUAGUAAUACAUAUAGAAUUGUUUUUAAUUUUUGUAAUGUAUAUAGAAAUGUUUUUAAUGUUUGUAAACACGGGGAGACAGGGUUUUUUCUGCUGAGGUUUUUCCCUGAGCUUUUAUAUCAUACGCAAAACAGUAUGGUACCCCGUUGCACUAACCCAGCAAAAUUGAUUAAGUAUUUUUUUAAUAUUCGAUAUAAUAAUAUUCACUUUCGAAAACCAAUUAAAUUUGAAUAUAUCUUUCAUCUUUCCA